CAAUAAAAUAAAACAAAGAAUCGGAUGUAGAACCAGAUAUGAAACCAGCAGCUGAAAUGGAACAAGGCACUUUGGAAGGUGUUAUUAAUUUUACUAAUAGAUGGCCACAACAUGAACCGUGUUGAAAAGCUUAGAGUAAUGAACCUUUUUCCGAUACAAUUGUGAUGAAAGCUUCACUGGUUCAGAUGCUUCUCUUCGCCAGACCGUUCACUUAUCUAGCUGUUGAGUUUCAGAGGAACUCUGAAAGCAUGCUGCCAAAAGCUGAAGUGAAUGCUAACCAGCCAUUUAAAUGUAAAGCAGUAAGUUCAUUGGCUGGGUAUGCUACAUGAACCAAUCAGCUGGUGCCAAGUCAUUUAACGUUGUGAAUGUCAUCAGUUACGUUUAGAACCCAUCAGCCUGUGCCAUCUAGAGUUUCAUGAAAGAACUUGGCAUUUGUCCACAAGAUUCCUGUCUGCUUCUCAACAAGAAAAAGCUAACAUCAUUAUAGGGUGAAAAAAAAAAAUAUCACCAAUUGAAAAUGGAAGAUUACAAAGAAAAUAUGACCAGCAAAACAAUGAGAAAGCAACUGGGAUACCAUUUCACAGAAUAUCAGGUAUUUGAGACUUCCAACAUCUCUGAGACUCACAUCGCCUCUCAGACUGGCACUUUUUCUGAAACUGAGACCACCUGUUCUCAAUGGCAGAGAAUUCUUGCAGCAGUGAAGUGCACAGGAAGUGAAAUGUUGAAAGCAAUGUACUGCCUCUGAGACUACCAUUGCCUGUCUAAUGGGACUCUCUCUGGGACUCUCUCUGGGACUCUAUCUGAGACUGUCUCGGAAACAGCCAGUGCAUGUGUUACUGCUAAUGCCUGUAAUUUCUAUGAGACUUCCACUUUUUUGAACUGACAUGCCUCUGAGAUUGCCAGUAUACUGCAAAAAUCUGCAAGAUUGUCUACGCAACUAAUUUUGCACAGUUGGCUUGAAGAUUUCUGUCUGGUUCUCAACAAAGCUGAACCCAUGUCGAUAAACGAUAGCACAGCUUUGUGGCAGUCUUGUUUUUUGAAAAAUUGUUUGUUCACACAAUAAAUAUUGAAAUGAUUUGUUGUUUACUUCAUACUUGGUUAACACUGCCAUAGUUUUCAAUAUGUAAUAGUUAAUUUUCAUAUGAAUUUGUAAAGUUUGAUAAAAAGUUUGGGUCAAGGGUAAAAACAAUCAA
rnacentral:lncRNA from 1 species